GGACAUAUAGCUUGAUGAUGAGAGCAGCACCCUUGUACGGUGUCGGUUAAAGGUUCGAGUCCUUUUAUUUCCA
rnacentral:tRNA from 1 species